UACGUAGGCAGCAAGCGUUGUCCGGAUUUAUUGGGCGUAAAGAGCUCGUAGGCGGCGUGUCGCGUCGGGAGUGAAAGCCCGUUGCUUAACGGCGAGUUGGCUUUCGGUACGGGCAUGCUGGAGUGCGGCAGGGGAGACUGGAAUUCCUGGUGUAGCGGUGGAAUGCGCAGAUAUCAGGAGGAACACCGGUGGCGAAGGCGGGUCUCUGGGCCGUUACUGACGCUGAGGAGCGAAAGCGUGGGGAGCGAACAGG
rnacentral:rRNA from 1 species